rnacentral:rRNA from 1 species
GAAUUUAAUUAUAAUUUUAUUUAUGGUAUGUUUAUUUAGGUAUUAUAGGUAAAUAUAAUUUAAUUGGGAGGAUUAUUAAAUUUAAUUAACUUUAAGUUGAAAUAAACUAUAAAUUAAUAUUAAUAAAUAUUUUAGAAUGAUUAAUUAAUUAAUAAAGAAUUAAUUACCUUAGGGAUAACAGCGUAAUAUUUUUAUAGAGAUCUUAUUAGUAAAAAUGAUUGC